rnacentral:rRNA from 1 species
CACGUAGGGGGCAAGCGUUGUCCGGAUUUAUUGGGCGUAAAGAGCUCGUAGGCGGCUCAGUAAGUCGGGUGUGAAACCUCCAGGCUCAACCUGGAGACGCCACCUGAUACUGCUGUGGCUAGAGUCCGGUAGGGGAGCGUGGAAUUCCUGGUGUAGCGGUGAAAUGCGCAGAUAUCAGGAGGAACACCAGCGGCGAAGGCGGCGCUCUGGGCCGGAACUGACGCUGAGGAGCGAAAGCGUGGGUAG